rnacentral:rRNA from 1 species
ACCAGACUCCUACGGGAGGCAGCAGUGGGGGAUAUUGCACAAUGGGGGAAACCCUGAUGCAGCGACGCCGCGUGGGUGAAGAAGCGCCUCGGCGCGUAAAGCCCUGUCAGCAGGGAAGAAAAUGACGGUACCUGAAGAAGAAGCCCCGGCUAACUACGUGCCAGCAGCCGCGGUAAUACGUAGGGGGCAAGCGUUAUCCGGAUUUACUGGAUGUAAAGGGGGCGCAGACGGCGAUGCAAGCCAGGAGUGAAAGCCCGGGGCCCAACCCCGGGACUGCUCUUGGAACUGCGUGGCUGGAGUGCAGGAGGGGCAGGCGGAAUUCCUGGUGUAGCGGUGAAAUGCGUAGAUAUCAGGAGGAACACCGGUGGCGAAGGCGGCCUGCUGGACUGCAACUGACGUUGAGGCCCGAAAGCGUGGGGAGCAAACAGGAUUAGAUACCCGAGUA